UCUCUCUCGCUCCCCAUCUACCGCCCCGAGAUUUCGAUCCCAAAUUGUGCGCCGCCGCCAUCCCUCUGCUCACCAUAGCUGCCGCCAUGGCAGCUCACAUCGCGGUUCUCCCCGUACAACCCCGGGCGACCUGGGCUCCCGCCGCCUCCCGGCUCGAUGCAGAUCCAUACGGCGACGGUCGAGGCUGAAGCCGGCGGUGGUGAUGGAGGACCAACUCCACGGUCACUGCCAUGCCCUAGAGACUCGCCUGUGUACCGCCGCUGUUGCAGUCAGAGCGUGGACCGGCUGCAGCAACGACGAUGCACAAACCGAGGAGCGAGGCGACCUGUACAUGCCCGACCAGGAGGAGCUCGUCCACAACCACCACGGCGCCCACCAAAAGGUUUGCAUGGAAGAGUUAAGAGGAUGAUUUGAGCACAUAGAGCCUCCCCGCUGCAUGGACCAACAAGCAAGAUGUGUGUGGAGCACCCCUGCUCCAGCCUAGCUGAUGACACAAGACUGCUGCUACUCCCUGUCUUCAUUGAGGCUGAAGACGGCGCUGGUGAUGGAGGACCAACUCCACGGUCUCCACCAUGCCCUAGAGGCUCGCCUGUGUACCGCCGCCGCCGUCGGAGCAUGGAGCGGCUGCAACAACGACGACACACAAGACGAGGAGGGGGCGACCUGUACAUGCCCGACCAGGCGGAGCUCCUCCACAACCACCACGGCGCCCACCAAAAGGUUUGCAUGGAAGAGUUAAGAGGAUGAUUUGAGCACAUAGAGCCUCCCCGCUGCAUGGACCAACAACCAAGAUGCGUGUGGAGCACCCCUGCUCCAGCCUAGCUGACGGCGCAAGGCUGCUGCUGCUCGCUGUCUUCAUUGAGUAUGGUUCAGCAUGUACAAAAAAAAGAAUAUGGAGUGCAUGUUUGCACCAAGUGGCAUCUGAACCAACUUACGUUGGUCCACACAAAGGUAUGACACAAGUUCGCCAUUGGGAGUCAAAGACAACAUGAAGAGCUGCUCACCUUGCUGGCAUGUGGCGACCGCAGUGGCACGCUUGCUGGCGCCGCCAUGCAGUGCCCCCUCCACGCUUGCUGGCGACCGUAGAGUUUGAUUUACAAUCCUCCUAAGCGCUGGGUUACAACAAGAUGGAAGCUAACUUAGUGCACAUCCCAGGUGGGUGGCAAGACUACUCGAAGCCCGUAGGCGCCAGCCCUUGCCCAAAGUCUGGCUUUGUCCUUGAUCAUGGAGACCAGGGAGUGGAUAGAAGGCUGGUUUACCUGGGAUAUGCAGUCAUUUCGAUGAUUCCAAAUUAUCCAAGGGGUGAGUAGCACGACAGAGGCGAGGCCUUUGCGAAGCUGCUUGGGGGUUUGUUGUUUGGCCUGCAACCACCUGUCCAUGAGGGUGUCCUCUCCAUUUGGAGCUCUUGCUAUCAUUUUCAGCCAUGCAAGCACUUCAUGCUAGGCAGUCCUGGUGAAAUGGCAUUUGAGCAUCAGGUGGCGCAUUGUUUCAGGGGCCUGGUUGCAGAGAGGUCAUCGUGUGUGAUGUUGCGGGCCGUGUCUUGCGAGGCGUUCCACAGUCACCUGUCCACAUUUGCUAGCUAGUGAAAGAAUUUUACUUGCGGUGGCGCCCAUGUUUUCCAGAUUAACUUCCAGGAGUGGCACAGGAUGGAUCCAUGGAAGGUUGCCAGGUAUGCAGAACGGGCAGAGUAGGUACCACCAUUUGUCCAGUUCCAAAGUCGUUGAGGAUGGUGCUCCGGAUUGCAAGCCAGAUCUGCAAGUAUUGCCCAACCUUAGUGAUGCCAAUGACGCCCUAAAUGUCCCUAGCCCAGCUGUUGCCGUUUAGGCCUAUUGCGACGGUUGUGGCCUUGUGUCUCCACUUGGGGAUGCAGCUGUAGAGUUAUGGCGUCAACUCGCAGACCACACGUCUGUUGAUCCAUGGAUCCUCCCAGAAGAGAGCCUUGCUUCUGUAACCAACUUUCAUGGAUGUCGAGGUGAAGAACAUGUCGCGCUCAUCGGAGGAGAAUUGCAGUUCUAGUCCGAUCCGAGCCCUGUUGGUGUCCGUCCAAGAGUACCAGAGCCAGCUUAGCUUGUGCCUGUCCUGCGCGCUCAAGAUCUUGGACACCCAGGCCUCCAUGGGAGAAAGGGCGGCAGACCCGGUUCCAGUUGACAUGGCAAAGACCUCCAUUGGCGUCUGCACGUCCAGCACAAAGGAAGCCUCUCUAAAUUUUAGUGAUCUACUUGAGGGAUUUUUUUGGUGCUGCAUAGACCAAUAGUUGGUGCAGAGGGAUGGCGCCAAGGACAGACUUGACAAAGGCGAGGCUGCAUGUUUUGUUCAUGAGCUUGGCCUUCCAAGAUGGCAGUUGUCCAGCAAUGCGAUCGACGACAGGCUGCAGUUGUGCAGCUGAUGGUCUUUUGAUUGUGAGAGGAAUGCCCGGGUACUUGAUUGGUGGGUCCACAAUUGGGCAUUGAAGCUGUGCAACAACAGGUACAGCCACCUCAUUAUCGCAGCGUAGCAAAGUAGCCGAGCUUUUUUCCUUAGUUGACCUGGAGGCCUGAAGUGUUGCUGCACACCUGGAGUAUUCCUUUGAUUGUGGCGAUGUCGCUAGGUGAUGGGUGGAAAAAAUAGCAUCACAUUAUCGGCGUGUAGGGAGAUGGCCGGGAUCGCCCUCGAGUGGUGUAGCUGCUGCAAAACCCCAAGUUGGGUAGUGAACUUGUUAAUGUUGUCUACUUUGUCAAUUAGUAUCUAUAAAAGCCCUACCUAAAUCCACAUCUUGUGUGUUGUGACUUUCAGGUAAAGAAUAAAAGUUCAAGAAGAAAAGGCCAGUGAGGUUGCUAGUGCACUACUAAGGCUUGAGAAUAUUGGUUCAGAUAUGAAGAACAUCAAAGAAGUGGUUUGGCUUCUGGUUUCAUCCAUGAGUGUGUACGUCUUGCAUAGCAAAAAUGUCCAGCAGUUGUAGUGGUUGUUGGUGGCGAGCUGGAGAAGACAUGUCCUCCUCCUUGGAGCGGAGGAGGGAGGAUAUGAUGAUGUUGUUCCUAGCUGCUCAAUGUGGUGAUGAAGCCAUGCAUCUGACGCCCUGAUUGGUGCCGUUCAUAUGCUCGAGAAUUGGAGUACUUCACUUCACGUCUUGUGUCUAGGAAUGAAAACCAACUUGUGUAGAAGAUUUUCUUCUCUUGGUCUGCUUGACAAUUCUGCUGGGUGUUAGUUGAUACUACGUGCUACAUGUAUAAUUUUCUUCUUUC